CACGUAGGCACCAAGCGUUGUCCGGAUUUAUUGGGCGUAAAGAGCUCGUAGGCGGUUCAGUAAGUCAGGUGUGAAAUCUUUGGGCUUAACCCAAAGCGUGCACUUGAUACUGCUGUGACUUGAGUUCGGUAGGGGAGUGGGGAAUUCCUAGUGUAGCGGUGAAAUGCGCAGAUAUUAGGAGGAACACCGGUGGCGAAGGCACCACUCUGGGCCGAAACUGACGCUGAGGAGCGAAAGCGUGGGUAGCAAACAGG
rnacentral:rRNA from 1 species